UCUCCAAUUAUUUUUGCUGAGCUGGAAGUACUUUUUUUGGUCUGUGCUGAUGGAUUCCCUCUGCCACUGGCAUGAUUUAUAGUCACUCAUGUCUACAGGAUGCGUCAGUGCUGCCCAUGGGAUGCUGAGGUUGACUGGAAAGAUAAAAGGGAUGCAUGAGCCCCCGAGCACAAGAUGGGAAACGCUGUAUCUCAUGUUGACAAACUAAAUACAGACCAGCAAUGUGGUGCAAUGUGGUACAUGUUAUCCUGGGAUGCGCUGUUGGAUGUGUCCUGUGCAUGUGGCAAACUGCUGUUACUUUGCUUUAGUUGGAAGUGGUGAGGUCUACGUCUGCCGUUGCCUCCAGUUCUGGGCAGUGUGGUAUGAGAAGGAUACAGACGAGUCUGCAAUAUGCUGAAAGGCAGCAGUAAGAAAGAGAAGAGGUCAGAAAAAAUGACCUGUGAGCAGCGUUUUGUCAUGGAAAAGAAAAGCCUGAGCUGCGACAGUAGCCGUGUCAUAGGUGAAGGGACCAUUUCCCUGGUGUCCCCUGGCUGUCUCCACAAGAACAAGACAAAAGGAUGUACAUUUUGCAACAAGGAAAACGUAAGGUGAGUAUUGGCUGUUGGGGGUUGAGAGGCUGCAGCGUGCCACAUAGGCGGUUGCGAAGGUUUGGAGAAUCAGACAAACGGCUUUUGGCACCAUACAGCGUUGGAAGAAGGUCACUAGAGAAGGACGGGCGAAAAGGGACACCCUUCCCCUUACUGACGGGACUGAAGUUGUUGAUGGCUGUCACAGCUGGCUGCUGAUUUCCUUCUGCCCAGAGGCUGGGAACAUCCAGCUCUUCUGACUUAUAUGUGUAAAAUAAUUUGUGGGCUGGAAGAAGGCGUCCAGGGUGCUCGCUGUGGCCCUGCACAGAGGGGGCUUGUGGCUGCUCUCACGAGGUCCUGAUUGCUCCAGGACAGCUGCUUACAGGACUCUGCAGAGCACUGGGCAAAGGUUUGGUGUAGCCAUCAGAAGACUCACUUUGUGAAAGAUGCGACUGAUACUGUUCAGACACAGGAGGCACGGAAAGAAUUAGAAACAGAUUCCUCUGAAAGAAGCAAGACAAUGGGAUAUAUUACAGCAUCAAAAUGUUCUUGGCAGGUGGAGUGUAUAUAUCAAGUACUGAAAAAACUGUUUGUGUUUUUUUCUAGAAGUCAAUGAAAGUCCAGUUCACUCGAAACAAUAGCACUUUGAGAACCAUUCCUAUGCUUUCCAGAAGUGUGUGAAGAGAUGCAUGUAAGAUGGAGGUCUAAAAGCAAGAACUGUUCUACCCAAAAACGUGUUGCAGAGAGAGCUGGAAAGGAAACAAAAGACUUUUUGUUGAGGCUUCAGCUCCUCGGCACACGCUAUCAGCACUCCAUCUGCUCGCUGGGCCCCAGCUCCCGUGUUCUGGUCACCAAGAGUUGUGUUUGUGUCCAUGUACCACACAGCAGACUGAGGCUUCAGCAAGAUUCUGCUGUGGUAGGAGUGGAGCAAACCUGGAGCUGAGGGAAAGGCAGUUUCCAAAAGGUUUCCUGUGUAUAAUGAGUGACAGACACGAUGCGACAGUAUCAGCCAGUAUCAAUAGCAGCAUGGCUGGUGUCGGAGCAUUAGCAGACCAACAAUUUCCGAUGUUAUGACUGAUGCAGUAAAUACACUACCAACAUGUGUGCUCGGGCUGAGAAGCUGAAAGCCUUGGGUUUAAGAGGUGUCUGUCUGUGUGUUCAUAUAAAUACACCCUGUUAAUAGCUGGUGAAUAAUUUUUACUACCUCUUGCCACCAAGGAUUGCAAAUUCUAAUUAGUGAAUGUGUUUAUCCCCAGAAAGCCCCUGGCUCUUGCAGGCUGCCAGCCUCGCACAGCGCUGCUCUGUUGCAACAGCCCUGCCUUUCCUCUCCCAGCCCCUCGCAGUGCCCCACAGAUCGAAGUCACCAACGUUGUAGCCAAGGACAGCUUUAUCAACACGGAGGUGUGCACCCCUGUACAAACAAAGCAGUGUUAGCCCUACAGAUGCUGCUGUCGAGGCAGCGCAGAGCCACGUGCCUGCCUCCUGAAGCCUUCCCACGGCUGAACCGAGCCACUCGCGCUCAGCUGGGUGGAGGAGGGAGCCCCGGGGCCUCCCGGUCCAAGGACGGCUGUGUCCCUUGGGCUGCUCCAGAGGCAGAAGCUGUCACUGUCCUUUCUGUUCUUAAAGGAUGCCAAUUUUUUUUUUUUAAAUGAGGCUUGCUAAUCACUGAUGACUUUCAAAGUUCCAUUACUAGAUCAGGAGACAAAUUAUUCCUGAGGAUCCUCCUCAGGAUGCCAAGCCCAUGUAACCAGAGCAAUCUGGGGGACUUUCUGUUCUCUUUAUCUAUUGCUCAUCCCACAGAGCUAGAACAAAAACCUGGAAAUUUUUUUCACGUGUUCUCAGAAGACAAAGGUAGCACAGAAAGGAGAAAAAUACAAUGGUUAGUUGGUUCUUAAGAUGCAUUUGGGGAGUGGUGCUGCUGGACUUGUGUAGAUGCUGCACCUGAUUUGUAGGGCUGGGGAUCAGCUAGGAAAGUUUUUUGCUUUUACUCUUCUGGUCUGCCAGUAAUGGAGUGUGAACUGGCAUGAAAUGUCAUAAUCUCAGACUUUUGCACUCCAGUAUUUUACCAGAAAAUCGAUUGCUUUCUCAGAUGUAAGCAACUGGAGAGUGCUGAACAGAUUAGGGCCUGUUAGUAUUGGGCAGCCCUUUAAACAGAUAAGCAUUCAAAAGGGGUUUGUACAAUUGGAAACGAUGCAGCUGAUGACUGUCUGUGAAGAAUAUUUUUUCAUCUUCUCCUGUUCACAGAAAAAGCAGCGCAAGUAAUGGGGGCUUACAGCAUGUCAGAUCACAGCCAAGGGAAGAGUGUUGCUUAAAUUCAGAUCGAACUUUGCUCUUUCCACAAGGAAAUGGAGUUCUUACUGAAAUGCAAACUUUUGUGGGUGCUUUCUGCUUUCCACAAGAAAUGACAGUUCCAGAGGAAAGAAAAGUGCUUUUGACUUUUGGGGUUGGGUUUUAAAGAAGUCUCAAAUGUUUUUGUAAAAGCUGAAGGAUGCUUUGUUGUCUUACGCAGCAGAGUGGAAUUGCAAAGAGUAAAUGAAGAUUAUGCCUCAUAAAGUCCUGCUUCAGAAACUUCCAAACAAUUUGUUUCUCCUGAAAUUUUUUAUUUUUAUUUUUCCCCACUAUCACAAUUAGCUACUUGCUCAAGCACUGCUUUUAUGCAGUCAAGGAGGGACUUCCAGCUGCUGCUCUUGGUGUGUACAUGGGUUGUGUGACUGUGCCUGGGAAAAGAUACUUGGAAAAGAACAGUGAAGGAAAAAGCACUUUUAUUGUCCAUCUUAAGACGAGUUCCACCAACAAAACAGUGAAAUAGCCUAACAUAUGGAUUUAAGACAGGUUCAUGUCACAACUCUCUUGAGCCAUACGGCUGCUGGUUGCUGAUGCUCAGAGCCCCCAGAUGCCUGAUUGCUACAUCUGCACACAGAGCCUUAAAGGCAGGUCUGGAAAGAUGAGCAACCGCUCAGAAUCACCUGUGAGAAGCUCCACGGCUUCCCCAAAGUUGACAAAAACUAUUUGGAAGGAAUUUGCUGCACAGGGUUGCAGCUGGACUGACAGUGGAGUCGAGGUUCGGGGCCAAGCUGCAAGCAUUGAGCUGGUGCAGCAGGAUGGUGCUGUUGUGAGCUGAGCUGGCUCAGCAGUGGGAAGGAAAGAACCUGAAACAGAUUGUACCUACAGCAAGGCGGUGAUGUUGCGAUACGCCUCCCUGCUGAAGGCUGUGGAAAUCCUAUAUUUUAUUCACAUGAGAAAUUAGACUUUAAGUGGCCGAUGUAUAAGGCUGCGUGCAGAUUAAAUGUCUGCACACGGUAAAUAUGCGAGUACAAGCUACUGCCUUGUACCACUACAAUACCCUAUGCAUAAUGCAUAGCUUAUGAAUAAUUUGCACAAGGAUCUAUUCCCAAACUUAUGAUAUUACAUGAUUUUUUUCACUCUGAAAGGAAACAGAGGGAAAGUGUCAUCCUUCAGGAAUAAAGGGGACAGGCAGGAUCGGGAGCUGGAGAGCUGAGGCAGCCCUGUGAGGAAGCAGCUCUCGCGGCUGCAUGAGCAGUGUCUGCUGUUAAUGCUCUAGCAAUCCAGGAAGAAAAUGAAAGGCUGUCAGAUGGUUAAAAAUCAUUCCUUUUAUUACAGCAUUACUCACUGCCUUCGACUUUGUGAUAAAUUGUUUGGAAAGCUGAUUGUUUCAAUGGGUGUGGAUAUAAAACCAAAGAAAACACUGCCCUUGGAGGCAAGGAUAUAGUCCUUAAUUUCAGUUGGAAGCAAAUAAAUAGUAACUAUUUCUCUUCAGCCUUCUGAGUAUUUUUUGUGCUUCAAAAUCUCUGAAUGAUUACAUGGGUGAGGAAGCAAGGAAAAAGAAACCUGCUUAAGAUAAA